rnacentral:tRNA from 1 species
CACUAUAGAAGCUAAAUAGGAUAGCACUAGCCUUUUAAGCUAGAAAAAGAGAAUUCUCCGCCCUCCUUAGUGA